UACGAAGGGGGCUAGCGUUGCUCGGAAUUACUGGGCGUAAAGCGCACGUAGGCGGCUUUCUAAGUCGGGGGUGAAAUCCUGGAGCUCAACUCCAGAACUGCCUUCGAUACUGGAGAGCUUGAGUCCGGGAGAGGUGAGUGGAACUGCGAGUGUAGAGGUGAAAUUCGUAGAUAUUCGCAAGAACACCGGUGGCGAAGGCGGCAUCCUGGACCGAGAUUGACGCUGAGGCGCGAAAGCCAGGGGAGCAAACGGG
rnacentral:rRNA from 1 species